UACGUAGGGGGCAAGCGUUAUCCGGAUUUACUGGGUGUAAAGGGAGUGUAGGCGGUCUGUUAAGUCAGAUGUGAAAGCCCGGGGCUCAACCCCGGGACUGCAUUUGAAACUAAUGGACUAGAGUGUCGGAGAGGUAAGUGGAAUUCCUAGUGUAGCGGUGAAAUGCGUAGAUAUUAGGAGGAACACCAGUGGCGAAGGCGGCUUACUGGACGAUAACUGACGCUGAGGCUCGAAAGCGUGGGGAGCAAACAGG
rnacentral:rRNA from 1 species